ACUACACAGCUAGCUCAAACAUUAAACUUCCACACAAAAAAUCUAAAACAUUCAUAAAAAUAGUAUAGGCGAUAGAAGUAAACACCUGAAGCAAUAGAGAAAGUACCGCAAGGGAAAGCUGAAAAAGAAAUUAAACAAACCAUAAAAGUACAAAAAAGCAAGGAUCAACCCCCGUACCUUUUGCAUCAUGGUCUAGUAAGUAAACUGUGGCAAAAAGACCUUUAGUCCCCCUCCCCGAAACUAGAUGAGCUAUUUAAGAGCAGCUACACGAGCAAACCCGUCUAUGUGGCAAAAUAGUGGGGAGACUCUUAAAUAGAGGUGACAAGCCAAACGAAUCUAGUGAUAGCUGGUUACUUAAUAAGUAAGUUUUAGCUUAACCUUAAACCUUAUCAUAAUGACAAAAAUACAGAUUAAAGUUCAAGAGCAUUCAUAAGAGGUACAGCUCUUAUGAAAAAGGAAACAACCUACAACACUGGGUAAUGAUUAUAAUAUUGUAAAAACACCAAGUAGGCCUAAAAGCAGCCAUCUACAAGAAAGCGUCACAGCUCACAACAUUAAAAAUACCAAUAUAACACCAAAACCCACAACAAUAAUUAAGUUCAACCAUAUAAUGGAUAAAUUAAUACUAGAAUUAGUAAUAAGAAAACAUGAUUUUCUCUCCGCGAACCUAUAAAUCAGAUUGAACUAAUCACUGAUAAUAACCGACCCAUUAAUGGAAAUAAAUACUAACAAUAAACAAGAAAAACAUUAAAUAAAAACAUCGUUAAACCUACACAGGCUCGCAAUAAGAAAGACAAAAAGACAAAGAAGGAACUCAGCAAACAUCAAACCUCGCCUGUUUACCAAAAACAUCGCCUCUAGGUAAAACUAAUAUUAGAGGUACUGCCUGCCCAGUGAUACAUUCAACGGCCGCGGUAUUUUGACCGUGCAAAGGUAGCAUAAUCACUUGUCCCCUAAAUAGAGACUAGUAUGAACGGCAAAACGAAGGUCUAGCUGUCUCCUUUGUCUACUCAAUGAAAUUGAUCUUACAGUACAAAAGCUGUAAUAAAACAACAAGACGAGAAGACCCUAUGGAGCUUAAAACGCACUAGGAAGUCAAUAAUAUUUACAAAUAUACAACUAAUCCUACACUGUUUUUGGUUGGGGCGACCACGGAGAAUAAUCAACCCCCGAGAUGAAAUACCAGGAAAACAAUCCAAAACACCAGAAAACUGACAUAAUUGACCCAAUAACCUUGAUCAACGAACCAAGUUACCCUAGGGAUAACAGCGCUAUCCUCUUUAAGAGCCCGUAUCGACAAGAGGGCUUACGACCUCGAUGUUGGAUCAGGAUAACCUGACAGUGUAACCGCCGUCAAAGGUUUGUUUGUUCAACAAUUAAAAUCCUACGUGAUCUGAGUUCAGACCGGAGUAAUCCAGGUCAGUUUCUAUCUGUUAUGUAGUUUUUUCUAGUACGAAAGGACCGAAAAAACAUGGCCAAUGCAACAUGCAUGCCAUCAAAAAAUCAAUGAAAUCAACUAAAAUUAAAACACAAAACACGCCUCAAGAUACAGAGGCU
rnacentral:rRNA from 1 species